UACAGAGGGGGCAAGCGUUGUUCGGAAUUACUGGGCGUAAAGGGCGCGUAGGCGGCCUGUUAAGUCGAACGUGAAAUCCCCAGGCUUAACCUGGGAACUGCAUUCGAGACUGCAUUGCUAGAGUAUGGGAGAGGGAAGUGGAAUUUCCGGUGUAGCGGUGAAAUGCGUAGAUAUCGGAAGGAACAUCAGUGGCGAAAGCGACUUCCUG
rnacentral:rRNA from 1 species